rnacentral:tRNA from 1 species
GGGCUCGUAGCCUAGUCUGGAUAGGGCACCGGACUUCUAAUCCGGUUGUCGCGGGUUCAAAUCCCGCCGGGCCCAC